GUGGGGAAUAUUGCACAAUGGGGGAAACCCUGAUGCAGCGACGCCGCGUGAGUGAAGAAGUAUUUCGGUACGUAAAGCUCUAUCAGCAAGGAAGAAAAUGACGGUACUUGACUAAGAAGCCCCGGCUAACUACGUGCCAGCAGCCGCGGUAAUACGUAGGGGGCAAGCGUUAUCCGGAUUUACUGGGUGUAAAGGGAGCGUAGACGGUAUGGUAAGUCAGAUGUGAAAGCCCGGGGCUCAACCCCGGGACUGCAUUUGAAACUAGCAGACUAGAGUGCAGGAGAGGUAAGUGGAAUUCCUAGUGUAGCGGUGAAAUGCGUAGAUAUUAGGAGGAACACCAGUGGCGAAGGCGGCUUACUGGACUGUAACUGACGUUGAGGCUCGAAAGCGUGGGGAGCAAACAGGAUUAGAUACCCUAGUAGUCC
rnacentral:rRNA from 1 species